rnacentral:rRNA from 1 species
CCUACGGGGAGCUGCAGUGAGGAAUAUUGGUCAAUGGACGAGAGUCUGAACCAGCCAAGUAGCGUGAAGGAUGAUUGCCCUAUGGGUUGUAAACUUCUUUUAUAUGGGAAUAAAACGUUCCACGUGUGGGAUUUUGUAUGUACCAUAUGAAUAAGGAUCGGCUAACUCCGUGCCAGCAGCCGCGGUAAUACGGAGGAUCCGAGCGUUAUCCGGAUUUAUUGGGUUUAAAGGGAGCGUAGGUGGAUUGUUAAGUCAGUUGUGAAAGUUUGCGGCUCAACCGUAAAAUUGCAGUUGAAACUGGCAGUCUUGAGUACAGUAGAGGUGGGCGGAAUUCGUGGUGUAGCGGUGAAAUGCUUAGAUAUCACGAAGAACUCCGAUUGCGAAGGCAGUUCACUGGACUGCAACUGACACUGAGGCUCGAAAGUGUGGGUAUCAAACAGGAUUAGAUACCCCAGUAGUC